rnacentral:rRNA from 1 species
AUACGGAGGGUGCGAGCGUUGUUCGGAAUUAUUGGGCGUAAAGAGCAUGUAGGCGGUCUGUUAAGUCUGGUGUGAAAGCCCGGGGCUCAACCCCGGAAGUGCAUUGGAUACUGGCAGACUUGAGUAUGGGAGAGGAAAGCGGAAUUCCGAGUGUAGGGGUGAAAUCCGUAGAUAUUCGGAGGAACACCAGUGGCGAAGGCGGCUGUCUGGACCAAUACUGACGCUGAGAUGCGAAAGCGUGGGGAGCGAACAGGAUUAGAAACCCUUGUAGUCC